rnacentral:rRNA from 1 species
UACGUAGGGGGCUAGCGUUGUCCGGAAUCAUUGGGCGUAAAGAGCGUGUAGGCGGUCCGGUAAGUCCGCUGUGAAAGUCGGGGGCUCAACCCUCGAAUGCCGGUGGAUACUGUCGGGCUAGAGUACGGAAGAGGCGAGUGGAAUUCCUGGUGUAGUGGUGAAAUGCGCAGAUAUCAGGAGGAACACCUAUUGCGAAGGCAGCUCGCUGGGACGUAACUGACGCUGAGACGCGAAAGCGUGGGGAGCGAACAGG